rnacentral:rRNA from 1 species
CCUGCCAGUAGUCAUAUGCUUGUCUCAAAGAUUAAGCCAUGCAAGUCUGAGUAUAAUUGGUUUACGGUGAAACUGCGAAUGGCUCAUUAAAUCAGUUAUAGUUUAUUUGAUGCUAUAGGCCGCAAGGCCACUACAUGGAUAUCUGUAGUAACAUAGAGCUAAUACAUGCAAUAUAGUCUGACUUUUUGGAAGGACUAGCACUUAUUAGAUAUUAAACCAGUCCCAGCAAUGGGUUUUAUGGUGAUUCAUAGUAACUGAACAAAUCACAUGGUCUUGUGCCGGUGAUGUUUCAUUCAAAUUUCUGCCCUAUCAACUAGAUGGUAGUAUAUAGGACUACCAUGGUUGUAACGGGUAACGGAGGAUUAGGGUUUGAUUCCGGAGAAGGAGCAUGAGAAACGGCUACUAUUUCUAAGGAAAGCAGCAGGC